UACGGGGGGGGCAAGCGUUGUUCGGAAUUACUGGGCGUAAAGGGCUCGUAGGCGGCCAACUAAGUCAGACGUGAAAUCCCUCGAGUCUAACCUGGGGAACUGCGUCUGAUACUGGAUGGCUUCGGAGUUGGGAGAGGGAUGCGGAAUUCCAGGUGUAGCGGUGAAAUGCGUAGAUAUCUGGAGGAAUACCGGUGGCGAAGGCGGCAUCUGGCCGAUAUUGACGCUGAGAGCGAAA
rnacentral:rRNA from 1 species